UACGGAAGGCAGCAGUGGGGAAUAUUGCACAAUGGGCGAAAGCCUGAUGCAGCUAUGCCGCGUGUAUGAAGAAGGCCUUAGGGUUGUAAAGUACUUUCAUCGGGGAGGAAAAAACAAAACUAAUAAUUUUAUUUCUUGACGUUACCCGAAAAAGAAGCACCGGCUAACUCCGUGCCAGCAGCCGCGGUAAUACGGAGGGUGCUAGCGUUAAUCAGAAUUACUGGGCGUAAAGAGCACGUAGGUGGUUUUUUUAAAGUCAGAUGUGAAAUCCCUGGGCUUAACCUAGGAAACUGCAUUUUGAAACUGAAAUACUAGAGUAUCGUAGAGGGAGGUAGAAUUCUAGGUGGUAGCGGUGAAAUGCGUAGAUAUCUGGAGGAAUACCUGUGGCGAAAGCGGCCUCCUAAACGAAUACUGACACUGAGGUGCGAAAGCGUGGGGAGCAAACAGGGAUUAGGAUACC
rnacentral:rRNA from 1 species